GACGAACGCUGGCGGCGUGCUUAACACGUGCAAGUCGAACGGAAAGGCCCUGCUUUUGUGGGGUGCUCGAGUGGCGAACGGGUGAGUAACACGUGAGUAACCUGCCCUUGACUUUGGGAUAACUUCAGGAAACUGGGGCUAAUACCGGAUAGGAGCUCCUGCUGCAUGGUGGGGGUUGGAAAGUUUCGGCGGUUGGGGAUGGACUCGCGGCUUAUCAGCUUGUUGGUGGGGUAGUGGCUUACCAAGGCUUUGACGGGUAGCCGGCCUGAGAGGGUGACCGGCCACAUUGGGACUGAGAUACGGCCCAGACUCCUACGGGAGGCAGCAGUGGGGAAUAUUGCACAAUGGGCGGAAGCCUGAUGCAGCAACGCCGCGUGCGGGAUGACGGCCUUCGGGUUGUAAACCGCUUUCGCCUGCGACGAAGCGUGAGUGACGGUAAUGGGUAAAGAAGCACCGGCUAACUACGUG
rnacentral:rRNA from 1 species